CCUGGUGCAUAGUGACAGGUUUUAAGAGGUAUCACACACCAGGUCAUUCCUCUAACUAAACCUUGGGUGACCGGGUGCCUUUUUUUCCUGCUAGAGUCCUGAUCCCCGCCUAUUUCACUGUAUCUGCUUUUCUAUUCAUAGCACUUACCCAUCUGAUGGGGCGACCAAGAGCAACUACUACUGUCAUCCAAUAUAAAUAAAUCAUAUUGUAGAAUUGCGGUCAUGCCCAACUGCUCACGCACUGGCCUUCUCAUGUACUUUCUUGCUAGCACUCU